rnacentral:rRNA from 1 species
UAGGGAAUCUUCGGCAAUGGGGGCAACCCUGACCGAGCAACGCCGCGUGAGUGAAGAAGGUUUUCGGAUCGUAAAGCUCUGUUGUAAGAGAAGAACGUGUGUAAGAGUGGAAAGUUCACACAGUGACGGUAACUUACCAGAAAGGGACGGCUAACUACGUGCCAGCAGCCGCGGUAAUACGUAGGUCCCGAGCGUUGUCCGGAUUUAUUGGGCGUAAAGCGAGCGCAGGCGGUUUAAUAAGUCUGAAGUUAAAGGCAGUGGCUUAACCAUUGUUCGCUUUGGAAACUGUUAAACUUGAGUGCAGAAGGGGAGAGUGGAAUUCCAUGUGUAGCGGUGAAAUGCGUAGAUAUAUGGAGGAACACCGGUGGCGAAAGCGGCUCUCUGGUCUGUAACUGACGCUGAGGCUCGAGAGCGUGGGGAGCAAACAGG